CGUGUAACCCAUGCUCUUGAACUACUUGCUCCAGGCUUCUCCCAUCCUGUGGAGUGUACUUUCGUUUAAGUUAAAUCUCUGCUUUUGCUGCCUUGUUUUGUUUUUGUGUUUUGUCCAAUUCUUUGUUCAAAACGCCAAGAACCUGGGCAACUACGCUUAACUGGUAACAUAUGUUGGGGAACCAGCCAGGAGGGAGCUUCUGGAGUCCAAGCCCUGGUGGCUCCUCCUUGGGCCAGCCUCCCUGAAGCCACUGCCCUCAGCGGUUCACCCAGACCCUGGAGCACCAGCCCAUAGGGAAGCUGCGUGUUUAGCAACCACAGCCACUGCCUGCAUCACGGGCCUCCGAGGGCACUGCCAAGAGGCCGGCGAGAUGCGGAGUCCGCGGCUGCAGGGUAGAUCCCCUCCUCUGCCCCGCUCUGGGCCGAGCCCUUGGCCAGGUGGGGACCGGCGCGGAUAUGUCUCCGCUGGGCCUGCAGGCGGCGAGACUUACUUGGGUAGCGAUAGUAGAAUUCGUUCUCCACGUCGCUCAAGUUCUUGUGCGUCCUCUCUGACCACCAGUGGGCGUCGGCCUCGAAGUCGUAGCGCACGAACACCCCGAAGAGAAUCACCAUAACCACCUGCAGGAGCAGGCAGAGAAACACGGGGAUCAUUGGCCUCCCAGUGAGAUCAGAAGGAAUUCCCAGACCUAAGUCAUCAUCAUCAACAUCAUCAUCAUCUGC